UUGUAAUGUAGGUGCACAUGCGUAGCAAUCCAGCAGCUUCCGAUCCAAGCACAACAUGUAGCGACAACACCCACCGCCCACUUCCCACUACGUGCCCCCUUAUCCACACAACACAUUGCUUCUUCUACAUCCAUCUGACGUUGUCCCUUCUCUUCUUCUCUAUCAGGGCAGCAUCAACCCCCUCUUCUCUGUCGGUGAGGAACUCCAGCAGAGGAUGGAUUGCGUUUUGGAGCUCCUCGAUCUAGCCUCCCCGGCUCAGUUGCUGCCCCAUGCUCCGGAUCUGGCGCCCCAUGCUCCGGAUCUGGCCAGAGCAGGCCUUGCCCCCGACCAACAAGGGAGUCUGCCAAUGGAGGUCGCCGCCUCCCCGUCUUGAUCCGUCUGCCGCCUGGACCCGGCCUUCUCGCCGGUGGUGGUGGUGUUCGCUCGGUGGACUCUGUUCCAUUUUCUUCGCUCCUUCACGCUUUGGCGAUUCCUUCUGUUCCCUUUCUCUGCUGGUUUCGAUUUCUAAUGUGGCUUGUUGAUUCUCAUGGCAACUCUCGUACACAUAUAAAUUGGUGAGAAUAUAUGUAUAUCAGCGAGGUGGGACAAUUUAAUUGAAGAACAAACUCUGUACAAA